rnacentral:rRNA from 1 species
UACGAAGGGGGCGAGCGUUAAUCGGAAUUACUGGGCGUAAAGCGUGCGCAGGCGGUUAUGCAAGACAGAUGUGAAAUCCCCGGGCUCAACCUGGGAACUGCAUUUGUGACUGCAUAGCUAGAGUACGGUAGAGGGGGAUGGAAUUCCGCGUGUAGCAGUGAAAUGCGUAGAUAUGCGGAGGAACACCGAUGGCGAAGGCAAUCCCCUGGACCUGUACUGACGCUCAUGCACGAAAGCGUGGGGAGCAAACAGG